rnacentral:lncRNA from 1 species
CAUGCAGUGAUAAUGCUUGAUCGAUCCAAACCUACAGCUCCUUUCUUGGCCCCAUUUCUGACGAAAUCUUUUCCAGCUUUCAUCCUUCCUUCAUUCACUCCUCGUCUCCCAAUUAUCUCUUCUCCCUUGACGUUUUAAUUGAAGUUUAUAUCUUAAAAUAUUUCCUGAGGACUUUGUGACACUGGCCUGAAGUCCAAGGGUGGCCUGGUCUACGUAAGUCUGGAUUGUGGGGAAGUUGGAAAACGUGUGCUUGGUACAGGCACCUCUCUCUGUUCAGAUGCCGUGGUGGGGAUGACCCAGAGGAAAUGAAACAUGCCAUCAACAGGAGCCUGCAGAGCUGAAAAGCAGUAGCCAACCAGGACAUCUGGGGGCUUUGUCCGCCUCUAGGAGCAUGAAAUCCAGACAGCUUUAAAUAAACACAAAAUAGUGGGAGGGUAACCCUUAAUGGAAGGAAGUCUUACAGCUCAUGAAUUGGAGUCCAUGGCUGAUCUCCGAUUAAAUGCAUCAUCUCCGAAUUCAAAUGUUAACAUCCUCCCUUGCUUCUUUAUACACAUAAGCAUUCAGGUGAAGAUACUUGAUGAGGCACAUAGAGAAAAGACACCACCCUCAUGCUUUAGGCCCUAGGAUGAUGUUUGCUUAAGAAAAAAAAAAAAUCACCACCACUACCCAACCCUUCCCCCAACCUGGUCCACGUAGCUCUGUUCAUUUCUUAGCCCAGAGACCUAAGAAAGUCACAAAGUUGUACCUGCUUUUGGUUGCACUUAGGAAGGCAGACGUGAAGAAAGGAAAAUGAAAGACACACGUGAUGGGCUGGCUGGAGAUGAGAGCAUCUGUUUCCAGGGAGGACCUAGGCUGGACUCUGCUCCUGCCCUUGGUCAAGGGCGUCUCCAGUCACUGCAGCACCUGGAACCAAACUCUGCCUCUCAUCCUGGACCGCCUGGUAGCCCCUGUUCUUGUACUUCCGGGUGCCAUAGAUGGCCAGGGCGAUGACAGCUGCCAGGACGGUGGUGACCCCCAGUGUGACCCCAGCUGCUGCUCCUCCAGACAGGGCACUGCCAUCCCCAUGGAUGACCUUCAUGGCCCUGCGAAGCUCCAGCGGCUCUCCCAGCUUCCACCGGUGCGUCUGGGGAUCUUUAAUCCAGGAGCUGGCAGUCUCAGUAUUUGUCACCAUGACAGUGUUGACUUGACACAGUAAGAUACUUGGCACCCAUCACUGAUGAGGGCUAGGUGUUGGCUGAAACCCCCCGGACACUUUUUUAGAGAAGGCGCCCCUAAAUCUCCAGAUAUGGCAGGAUCCACCAGGGGGUUCCCGACCACACAGCUAAAGAACCCGCCAAAAGGGACUGAAAACUGGAAUCCCAACUCGUAGUCCUGCGAGGCACAUAUCUUGAGGUUCUCAAAAAGUCUCAAGGGAAAAUAGCCAGCUGGACACGACUGUGCGUUUGUCAAAGGGUUGAUGCUCUUACUGCUGAAGAGGCCCCCAAAAAGUAGCCCUGAGUUUUCUGACACUUGGACACUGGCCACACACCAAAAAGCCCUAAACUCAGCCUUGGCCACCCGGAACACAUCUUCACACACCGUCUUGCAGAAAAUGAGGAGAGUGCACUUCUGUGAACACUCCAGGCGGUUGUAACCCUCCUCAUGGGUCUGGGUCAGCAGGUGGAUGGGGGAGUAGCCAGAAGGGCAGGAGAAAUCACCUGUGAGUGGAUUCUUCUGCUCCAAGUUUUGGCAGAGUUGGACAAACUCAUUCCCUGAGAGCUGGGUGCAUUGCUGAUAAACUCCACCAAAGGAGAAAUUGGUCAUUUUCCCCUCACAGGAGCCAUCAUCCACGUUGGCUUGGAAAUUGAAGUUAGGCGAGUUGAGAUCUGUGCAGCCAGGGUAGGUGUUGAAGGUGUAAUAGCGUCUCACAGCUGUCUCCACCGUCUUUGACAGCUUUUUCACCAAGGGCCCUGGCAAGUCAGGCAGCCUGUCGGGGUUGAUGAAGAAAUGCAGAGGCAGGCCAGCACGGUCCACGGCCACCAGGUGGUUGGUGAUGCCCUGCUGCCAGGCCUGGAGGGUGAUGCCUGGGUAAAAAGGGAGCCCUCCGAUGCUUUGCACCCUGGAGUUGGUUCGGUUGGAGAGGUAGUUCUUGGUGAAGUCAUUCUGGGAGAUGUAGCUCUCCUCAAGUUUGAAGUUCACGAUGUUUAGGAAGGUGAUUCCAGCAGAUGAAGUCACAGCACUGUGGCUGCUCUGGCUGUCCUGGAGGAAGGAGGAUCUGAUGUGGUCCUCCUGAAUGAGAGUAGCGCCCGCAUCCACACUGGUGAUGACAUGGGUACCAUAGUUGAGGACCAGGAGUUCCGCCAAGUAGGUGGCCAUCCGUGUCUGGUUGUUCUCCAGACGUUCAGAGAUGUCCAUGAGCUCCUUUUUAAACCCCCAGCUUAGUUCUGCAUCUGGGUUGAUUUUGACCGUGUAGACCAGGUUUCUUAGCUGAACCUGGGUAGUCACAGCUUGAUCCUUCACCUGGAGGCUCUUUAUCCUCUGGAACUCAGGUGAGAACUUGCCAUUGACUUUGGAAAAAAGAGAGAGCUCCAUGUUGAUGGAGUAAGAGGUGGUGCUCUGGUAAUUGACCCAGGACUCAAGGAUUUUUGAGUUCAUCUCCAGGUUGCUCUGUUUCUGGGGAAUGGUGAAGAUCUCGUCAGGGACAAUGUACUGUCCAUCCUCUGUGGUCUUGCAGUGGGUGUACGUCAGGUCCAUCACCCGU